rnacentral:rRNA from 1 species
UACGGAGGAUCCAAGCGUUAUCCGGAUUUAUUGGGUUUAAAGGGUGCGUAGGCGGCUUAUUAAGUCAGGGGUGAAAGACGGUGGCUCAACCAUCGCAGUGCCUUUGAUACUGAUGAGCUUGAAUACACUAGAGGUAGGCGGAAUGUGACAAGUAGCGGUGAAAAUGCGUAGAGAUCGGGAAGAACAUCAGUGGCGAAGGCGGCCUGCUGGGCUGUUGCUGACGCUGAGGCGCGACAGCGUGGGGAGCAAACAGG